AGCAGCCGCGGUAAUUCCAGCUCCAAUAGCGUAUAUUAAAGUUGUUGCAGUUAAAAAGCUCGUAGUUGAAUUUCGGGGUUAGUAGGUUGGUCAUGCCUCUGGUAUGUACUGGUCUCACUGAUUCCUCCUUCCUGAUGAGCCGUAAUGCCAUUAAUUUGGUGUUGCGGGGAAUUUGGACUGUUACUUUGAAAAAUUAGAGUGUUUAAAGCAAGCUAACGCUUGAAUACAUUAGCAUGGAAUAAUGAAAUAGGACGUUCGAUCCUAUUUUGUUGGUUUCUAGGAUUGACGUAAUGAUUAAUAGGGAUAGUUGGGGGCAUUAGUAUUCAAUUGUCAGAGGUGAAAUUCUUGGAUUUAUUGAAGACUAACUACUGCGAAAGCAUUUGCCAAGGAUGUUUUCAUUAAUCAAGAACGAAAGUUAGGGGAUCGAAGACGAUCAGAUACCGUCGUAGUCUUAACCAUAAACUAUGCCGACUAGGGAUCGGAUGAUGUUAAUUUUUAAUGUACUCAUUC
rnacentral:rRNA from 1 species